GGUGGCAUUAUCAGAGCACAAUCAAGAAAUGUGCUUUACAUAUGCUUCUGAUAUGAAAAAUAUGCUUAUGAUAUGUAGAUCACUUGAGGGAAAAUUUGCUUAUGAAGUACAUGUUUUUUUAGCGGGACAACUCACUUGAGGGAACUAGUAUAGUGCCCAUGGCACACCACGGUUUCAUUCUAGGGUGUAAUUAAAAAGAACAAAACAACGAUAUUGUUCAAUAGUUUAAGUCACAUUCAAUUAUGGGAAAUGCUAAUGUAUAACAAGACACAAUAAAAUCAUAUCUCGUAUAUUUCAGCUAAUUUAUUUGUUGAAGUAGAACUUGGAGUUCUCCAGGGAUAUUAUCUGUACAUUCAUUUGUGUUACUCUUCAAAAUAUUCACUAUGAAUUCAGUCCUCAUUGAACAUGACCUCUGUGAAUGGUAGAUAAUAAGUUAACUUAUUAAUUUUCUAUAUAGGCUACAAGAUAUUAUACAUAUAAGUUAUAUAAGCAGUGUCGAUAAACGUCAGUCUUUCACCAUUCCAUGACUUUAUGAAGUUGUAUACGAGAAAGCCUGCCAAUUUCCUAUAGAAGAAGAAGAGAGGAAGUGUUUGUUUGUUGUAGAUAAAAUCAAAUGACUAUUUGAUAAGAAAGAUAAAAAAAUCAAAAUAAGUUUUACCAGUCCUUGCUUUUUGGAUGAUUUUUUGGAUUAUUAUUAUUAUUAUAUAUUAUUAUAUAUAACUUGGAUCGUAUGUAUUUUUUUAUUUUAGUUCUAUAUCCAAUUUAGUCAUUCAGUUUUUUUAUUUUUUUAUUCAUUCAGUAUGUCAGUCCUUGCAAAAGGCAAGAGAGAAAACAAAAAUUGAGUUGUCCCUUAUAUAACAUAAACUGAGAAGACAUGGCUCCAACUUUGAAACAAGUAGCACUGUCUUUGCGACAAUGGUAACAGGGGGCAGCAAGCAUGCACCAGGAUCUGCACUGCUGAUACCUGGAUGCCUAACAAUGGUAACAGGGGGCAGCAAGCAAGUACUUGAUCUGCACUAUGGCACCAGCCGCCGCCGCGCGGAUUGGAUGCCUGACUCCACCGGCCGCCGAAUGUGUGGACGCUCGAUCUGCAUCGGCUGCUCAACGAUGGUCCCGUCUUGAUGAUUGUGUGCAUUCGGUGGUUGUGAUUAGCAGAUGUUCGUGUGUGGCGCCGGCAUGAUUCACGGCGAGUAGCAGGAGUCCCUCGGUGCGAGCGUUGGGAUUAGAGUCACGAGACCCGAUAGACGUGAUUAGCGGCGGCGCAACAGGUGUUUUUGUUUUUGUUGGGGGCAGACGGUAGAGGCUGAGGAGGUUGAUACAAGCAAUCUUAGCCCUUGGAUUUGAAUGAGUAAGGAGAGAGAAUACUCAGAUUAAAUCUAGACAGUCUAUUUUGAAGAUGUUGUGUUUCUGGGUACACUUUUCUAGGUGGAUGGAGAGAGGGCUCCUCAGCAAGGGACGUUUUUUGGUGUGGAGGUAUGAAAAAAAAACUCGGUGCAUUAUUAGGGUAGAUUCUCUUAGCAAGCAGCUCCUAGCGGUUAGAAGAAUAGUGGCUCUGAGUCAAAGCAGCUGGGAAUUCUCUAAGUCACUCAAAAAAGGAAUCUGUCUAACUUAGCAGCUGACAUAUGAAUCUGUCUAACUUAGCAGCUGACUUAGCAGCUGACACAGCAUUGUUGUAACUUAGCAGCUGACAUAGCCUGGAAUUUCAACUAACUUAGCAGAUAACUUUCUUUUUUUUGUUCAUCAACAGCUGAUUUCAUCAUUCCUGUCCGCUAAUUUUCUUUUGUACAUAUUUUUUAUGAAGCUGUUUGAGGACUAUAUUGAGGACUACUCGG
rnacentral:lncRNA from 1 species